rnacentral:rRNA from 1 species
AGGAAACUAAACCAUUUUUCCACCUUAGUACGGGAGACGGAAAGGGUAAUUUUAAGCAAUAGAGAAAGUACCGCAAGGGAAAGCUGAAAGAGUAAUGAAAUAACCCAUAUAAGCACGAAAAAGCAGAGCUUAACCCUCGUACCUUUUGCAUCAUGAUUUAGCCAGCACUACACAAGCAAAGUGACCUUUAGUUUGAAGCCCCGAAACCAAGUGAGCUACCCCGGGACAGCCUAUUUGGGCGAACCCGUCUCUGUGGCAAAAGAGUGGGAUGAGCCCCGGGUAGAGGUGAUAAACCUACCGAACUUGGUGAUAGCUGGUUGCCUAAGAAGUGAAUAGAAGUUCAGCCUCGUACCCCUUUAGCCAACCAAGAAAUAUCUGAAUAAGCAUAUAAGAGAAAUACGAGAGUUAGUUGAAGGGGGUACAGCCCCUUUAAUAAAGGACACAACCUUAAAUAGGAGGAUAAGAGUCACAUUUUAUAAAACUAGUUGUUCCAGUGGGCCUAAAAGCAGCCAUCUGAAUAGAAAGCGUUAAAGCUCAAACAACACGCAGUUUAUUAUACUGAUAAAUAACUCAACUCCCCUAAAAGUAUUAGGCCGUUCCAUGCCCCCAUGGAAGAGACUAUGCUAGAAUGAGUAAUAAGAGGGAAUGACCCUCUCCUAGCACAAGUGUAAGCCAGCUCGGACAGACCACUGGAACUUAACGAACCCAUAAAAAGAGGGUAAUGUGUUUACUAAAGAAAUCAAGAAAACAACACAACACUCAUAUCGUUAACCCCACACUGGAGUGCAUCAGGGAAAGACUAAAAGAAAGGGAAGGAACUCGGCAAACACAAGCCUCGCCUGUUUACCAAAAACAUCGCCUCCUGCGAACCCCAAUGUAUAGGAGGUCCAGCCUGCCCGGUGACUACAAGUUUAACGGCCGCGGUAUUUUGACCGUGCAAAGGUAGCGCAAUCACUUGUCUUUUAAAUGAAGACCUGUAUGAAUGGCUAAACGAGGGCUUAACUGUCUCCCUUUUCAGG